UACAGGGGGUGCAAACGUUGCUCGGAAUUAUUGGGCGUAAAGCGCGCGUAGGCGGCUACUUAAGUCGGAUGUGAAAGCCCCUGGCUCAACUGGGGAAGUGCACCCGAAACUGAGUGGCUUGAGUGCGAAAGAGGGUCGCGGAAUUCCCGGUGUAGAGGUGAAAUUCGUAGAUAUCGGGAGGAACACCGGUGGCGAAGGCGGCGACCUGGGUCGACACUGACGCUGAGGUGCGAAAGCGUGGGGAGCAAACAGG
rnacentral:rRNA from 1 species